rnacentral:ncRNA from 1 species
UGUCAUCUCGUGGGGAGCUGACACUGUCGGCUGAGAAUGCAAAUGCUAAACCCAUGGCUCAACCCCUGUUUGAGUCGAAACCUGAACCAGAUAAUGCUGGCGUAGGAAUGAGAUGUUGUAAGCAG